UCCAUCAAAAAAGACAAAAUAGGGCUGGGUGUGGUGGCUCACACCUGUAAUCCCAGCACUUUGGGAGGCCGAGGCAGGAGGAUCACUUGAGCCCAGGAGUU